ACGAACGCUGGCGGCGUGCUUAACACAUGCAAGUCGAGCGGUAAGGCCUUCGGGUACACGAGCGGCGAACGGGUGAGUAACACGUGGGUGAUCUGCCCUGCACUUCGGGAUAAGCUUGGGAAACUGGGUCUAAUACCGGAUAUGACCUGUCCUCGCAUGGGGGUGGGUGGAAAGAUUUAUCGGUGCAGGAUGGGCCCGCGGCCUAUCAGCUUGUUGGUGGGGUAAUGGCCUACCAAGGCGACGACGGGUAGCCGGCCUGAGAGGGCGACCGGCCACACUGGGACUGAGACACGGCCCAGACUCCUACGGGAGGCAGCAGUGGGGAAUAUUGCACAAUGGGCGAAAGCCUGAUGCAGCGACGCCGCGUGGAGGAUGACGGCCUUCGGGUUGUAAACUCCUUUCAGCUCCGACGAAGCGAAAGUGACGGUAGGAGUAGAAGAAGCACCGGCCAACUACGU
rnacentral:rRNA from 1 species